rnacentral:lncRNA from 9 species
CAGUUGCUGAACUCCAAGUACCAUCAAGACUUUGUUUAUCUUAAACUCCUUAAGCAUUAUUUCUUCGUUUUACAAAUGAGGGAAAUCAGAAUUCAGAAGAAGCAGAAGCUGCCCAUAUGCUACGGUGUCAACUAUGCAGAUGGGCCCAGAUCAGCCAACAUGACACACAUCAAGUUGAACAGAAACGCCCACAGGAGCCUGGAAGAAGAUGCCAUCAGGAAUUGAUAAGAAGCAUUUCGGCAGCUUAGUCUCCCUUUUCCUCCUCUCAAGAAUAAGGGUGAUGUUGUCAGCCUCUCAGAUGGUUGAGAAAAUGACUUAGCCCAGCGCCUGACACCCAGAAACCGCUCCAUGUAAGCGCCCCAUCCCCGUUGCUGUUCCACUGGAGAGAAAUGGAAACAAGGCUGUGGUAAACGACAUGCUUGGAUUGCAGCUAGACCUUGCAGCUUUUCAGGGAAUUGCGCCACAGAAAUGGAUCUCAGCUCAUCUCCACGAGCUCAUCUGCAUACCACGCAGGUCGUCGCUGGGAGAAAGCGUGUCUUCAGAACGGACCGUGGUAAGACUUGGAAUAAGGAGUCAACCCCCGUUUCAUGCAAAGGAAACACUGAAGCUAAGUAGGGAACUGGGCACAUUAACACCAUCUGGGUUAAUAAGGCCACUGUGGACAGAGUUUAAAAUUGCUUCCACAAUUAAAGAGCCUGAGGAAAUCUAUAUGUUUGGGUCUGAAUGAGGACGCAUCCAAUAGUGAUGAGAAUUCUCUGUUUCUCUAAAAAUAAAAAAGAAACAGGGUGGGGUGGGGGUGGGGGUGAUGUGAACUAACCUGGCCCAACCGAUGCCCCUUCCAGUGUGCCCAGCAGCAUGGUGUCUGUGGACCAGCCAGGUCACACUAGCGCUUUCUCAGAGGAUUCAACCAAGCCUUGGCACCUUCCUUGGCAUGGAAAGAAGGCAACAUUUUUUCCCCCCUCCAGGGCUCUGUGCCUUGUAUUGAAUAAAUACUUGUUGUUAUAAGGUCCCUGUAAUUGCAUUUUGCAGCAUAGAAAAAUUGAGGCACAGGACAAUUCACAAUCACAUCUUCUGAGUGGCAGAGUUUGCAUCAGAGGCGCUUUGCUGCUCUGUCUCCAGGGAAGGUGCACAUGGGCUCUCGAUUUUGGAAUUGGGCUUGGGGGCAUCCUUUGUUCUGUAUUGGCUAGCAACUCUUGCAAGGUGGCCAGGGUGACCUGAGUGGAGUGGCAGAGUUACAUCAAAGACAUGGCUGUGCUUGACCCAGACUCCUCUCUUCUUACUUCUAACACAUCUUAGCAAAGAGUUUAUUUGAGUUGACUUAUCAAACUUUUACCGUUAAAGUAAUCAUCAAAUCAGCAAUUUGAUAAGGAAGCGGAACCCCCCCAUGCUACUAAUGUGCUAGCCUGGGAUGUCCUUUCUUGG